UACAUUGCACAAAAUGCAUAGUGGCAUUAGCGAUGACACACGUUCUGGUCUUCCCACACUCCUCACAUCAAAUCAUAACGCUGGUGCACGGUGUGUGCACAGCAAUCUGCAAACCAAAAGUUUAUUGAAGUUGCCAGAGCAAACACAUCUGCUCAUCCAACAUACUCAAACGCAACAAUCUAUCAAACAUAAACUACGCAGACACAAACUGGCAACAAAAGUUUAUUGAAGUUGCCAGAGCAAACACAUUUGCUCAUCCAACAUACUCAGACGCAACAAUUUAUCAAACAUAAACUACGCAGACACAAACUGGCAAUAAUAUAUUAAUAUAGCAGCAGAUGAGCUUGACCAGCUAGGCAGUUAGCGGCCCAUCACCUGUACGCCAGGCGGGUUGCCAGCGCCGGCGCCGGCGCUGCGGCGCUCCAUGU
rnacentral:lncRNA from 1 species